UCAUAUCUAAGUGUUGGCCAUUAUAGUGUGUAAACUUGGACAUGUUAUCUAAUUUCUCAAAGCUUCAGUUUGCUUAGCUGUUAAAUGGUAACAAUAACAUAUGCAUUUGAAUUAUUGGCAAGGAUUAAAUUACAUAUUUGAUGAAAAAUGCUUUGUACCACUCCAGUCACAAGGUAAUUUAUUAAUAUAUGUUUGAUCACUACCAUAAUGAUAGAUUUUGUGAUGAUAAUGUGAUUGCGAUUAUAUAAGGGAAAACUCAGUAAAGGAGGAUGGGGCCUUUAAGCUAAAUCUUCUGUAUCUAGAAAUGUGAGAAAGUAGAAGAAAUCUCUCAGGUACCGAAGAACUCAGCAAGGGAAAAAAGACCUGUUAAUAUCAUAGAUAAUGCCUGAGAUGGUCCUAGAGUAUCCCUGUGUCACUGGAUGAAGCUCUGA
rnacentral:lncRNA from 1 species